rnacentral:lncRNA from 10 species
AAUCGAUGCCCGACCACGGGCCCGAGGGGCCCUUACCCGGCAGGUGGGCGGCCGCGGCUCACCACCCCCCGGCUGGUCCCCAGCCCGCGCCGAGUACCCCCGAGUGCCCUUCUCUCCGGGCGCGGGCAGGACGCAGGAGCAGGCGGAGUCGGUGAGGCCCGACGGCUUUAUUGGUUCAGGGCCCAGUCCCGUCCCCUCGCCCGCGGACGCCCGGGUCCGCGGCGCUCAGCGGCUGUCACGGGGGCGGCGCAGCUGCCCCAUCAUGUCGGCCAGCAUGCGGUUGCACAGCGCGGCGUAGGGGUUGAGCAGCACCAGCUGGCGCCGCGCGAAGGGGCUGCCCAGCCGUGCCGCCCUCUCGAAGUCCCUGCGGGCGUCGUCGUCUCGGCCCUGCAGCCGCGCCAGGAGUCCGCGCUGCACAAAGCUCUGGCGGGCGGCGCGGCCCCGGCCGCCGCUCAGCUCCACCGCGCGUUCCAGAUCCUCCAGGGCGCCUGCGGGACCGACGAGACGGGCGGGGCGGGGGUCAGCGGAGGCCAGGGCGGCCUUGCCCGAGCCCCAGCCCACCUGCGGCCGCGCGGAUCACCGUGGUUCUUGCGGCUCCCGGGCGUGGCCAUUUACAACCCGCCUCGCACCUGCUAGAGAAAAGACCCCGGCCAUGGAUGGGAGACCUAGGACAAAGAUGGAAAAGAGGUCAGACACAAAUUUUGCAAUGCUUGGCACCAGACAGCUGCUCAAUGAGGAACACAACUGCAUCAUGGAGAAUCCCCAGCAUCCUCAAACCGUUAACACCUAGAAGAAUCAGAAGCACCAGGGAAGUGAGGAGCGCAGUCAACAGGAAACAGCAUGGUCCUACAGAAAUGCCUAUGCUAUAGUCACUCUGCCAGAGGCUGCUCCAGGGUGAAUUAUAGUACAUAUUAGCUCGAAAUUAGCAUCAGAUAGCCAUUAAAAUGAUGCUGAUACAGAUCUAUCAAUAUGGAAAAUGUUUGUGAUAGACGGCUAAGUGAAAAAAGCAUGCCACCAAA